rnacentral:rRNA from 1 species
ACGAACGCUGGCGGCGUGCUUAACACAUGCAAGUCGAACGGGCUGCCUGGUUUUCGGAUCGGGUGGUGAGUGGCGAACGGGUGAGUAACACGUGAGUAACCUGCCCCUCUCUUUGGGAUAACGUCGGGAAAUCGGCGCUAAUACCGGGUAUUCUGGCUUCCUCGCAUGGGGUUGUUGGGAAAGGUUUUUUCUGGUGGGGGAUGGGCUCGCGGCCUAUCAGCUUGUUGGUGGGGUGAUGGCCUACCAAGGCGGUGACGGGUAGCCGGCCUGAGAGGGUGUCCGGCCACACUGGGACUGAGACACGGCCCAGACUCCUACGGGAGGCAGCAGUGGGGAAUAUUGCACAAUGGGCGGAAGCCUGAUGCAGCGACGCCGCGUGGGGGAUGACGGCCUUCGGGUUGUAAACCUCUUUCAGUGCAGAACAAGGCUCUUUGUGGGUUGAGGGUAUGCGCAGAAGAAGCGCCGGCUAACUACGUG